AUUUCAGGGCAGAGACCUUAAGGUCUAGCAUGGAUCACCUAAACAAUGAGGUAAUGCUGGAUCAAGGGUUAAAAUUUUCUAGUUAAAAUAAUAGGAAAUGUUAAUAUCAGUGACGUAGUUUGGAUUGGAUGAUAAUUCUGAAUUACACUAUCUGCAUGUUGGUUAGUAGAAAGAUUCGUCAUUGGAUCUUUUAUUUGUCAUUUGUACAGCUAGAACGGAUGAAGAUGAUAAUAAUUUAGACACCAGAUUUCCAGGUUUGGAACAGGAGCUGAUACAGUUGCGUGAGGUUAUAGAUAGCUUAAUGUAAUCGUUGUUUAUUCAGAUAUGGGGAUCUCGAAAAGAUGAAGUAUAUUUUCUGUAUUGUAUUAGAAAAACUGAAAACCUUUAAUUAAAAGAAUGAAAAGCUUAGUUGAGGAUAAGAACACACAGAUAUAAUGGUGGCAUGUCUUCUUCAUUACUAAUAAAUCUUAUGUUAUUUCACUAUUAGUGAAAAUUGUAUAUUACACCCUUUAAACAGUAUCUAAAAGCCACAUUUAUAUAUACCAAUUCUCAUAGUCUAUCUUCUGUUGUGGGACUGAGGAAAAAAGUGGCGAAACUUCCCAACAAUUUCCCUCCUCCUCAGCAGGUGGGCAAUCCCAUAUGACCUAUAUUGACAAGUGGACACCACAUAGAAUUAUGGUAUCAACAACACAUCAUCUUUUUGAUUUUUUUUUAAUCAAAAAGCAUCGACAAGACGUAAUCAAAAGUAGAUAGACAUACCUUCAAGUGUUUCCAAUAAGAGCUAGUAUUCUUCCGCACGUGAGUUAUGAUACCGUCCUUAAGAAUCCGACUAUGUACCCCUUGAGUGGUAUGCCAACAAUCAUGUUUGUCCAUUGUGCCGUUUACAGUAAUCAUGUGAAAAUUAGAAUUAAUACCAAGUGAUGACCGUAUAAUUAAUACCAUGCAAACUCUAUGAGGUUAGCAAUUCUACUAUCUCAAAAAACUACCACUCACACAUUCAAGUGACUAAAUUGUGUUUGAUACAGAAAUCAUACUAGUUUAUCAUCAAAAUU
rnacentral:sRNA from 1 species